UACGAAGGUCCCGAGCGUUGUUCGGAAUCACUGGGCGUAAAGGGAGCGUAGGCGGCGUGGUAAGUCAGAUGUGAAAUCCCGGGGCUCAACCCCGGAACUGCAUCCGAUACUGGCAUGCUAGAGUGAUGGAGAGGUAGCUGGAAUUCUUGGUGUAGCAGUGAAAUGCGUAGAGAUCGGGAGGAACAUCAGUGGCGAAGGCGGCCAUCUGGGACAACACUGACGCUGAGGCACGAAAGUGUGGGGAGCAAACAGG
rnacentral:rRNA from 1 species